GACGAACGCUGGCGGCGUGCCUAAUACAUGCAAGUUGAGCGCUGAAGGUUGGUACUUGUACCAACUGGAUGAGCAGCGAACGGGUGAGUAACGCGUGGGGAAUCUGCCUUUGAGCGGGGGACAACAUUUGGAAACGAAUGCUAAUACCGCAUAAAAACUUUAAACACAAGUUUUAAGUUUGAAAGAUGCAAUUGCAUCACUCAAAGAUGAUCCCGCGUUGUAUUAGCUAGUUGGUGAGGUAAAGGCUCACCAGGGCGAUGAUACAUAGCCGACCUGAGAGGGUGAUCGGCCACAUUGGGACUGAGACACGGCCCAAACUCCUACGGGAGGCAGCAGUAGGGAAUCUUCGGCAAUGGACGAAAGUCUGACCGAGCAACGCCGCGUGAGUGAAGAAGGGUUUCGGAUCGUAAAACUCUGUUGGUAGAGAAGAACGUUGGUGAGAGUGGAAAGCUCAUCAAGUGACGGUAACUACCCAGAAAGGGACGGCUAACUACGUG
rnacentral:rRNA from 1 species